UCCAAAGAUAGUCUAGGCGGUUAGGAUACGUGGCUUUCACCCUUCUACUGCCGGGUUCGAGUCCCGGUUUGGGAA